AUUGAACGCUGGCGGCAUGCCUUACACAUGCAAGUCGAACGGUAACGCGGGGCAACCUGGCGACGAGUGGCGAACGGGUGAGUAAUGUAUCGGAACGUGCCCAGUAGUGGGGGAUAGCCCGGCGAAAGCCGGAUUAAUACCGCAUACGACCUAAGGGUGAAAGCGGGGGAUCGCAAGACCUCGCGCUAUUGGAGCGGCCGAUAUCAGAUUAGGUAGUUGGUGGGGUAAAGGCCUACCAAACCGACGAUCUGUAGCUGGUCUGAGAGGACGACCAGCCACACUGGGACUGAGACACGGCCCAGACUCCUACGGGAGGCAGCAGUGGGGAAUUUUGGACAAUGGGCGCAAGCCUGAUCCAGCCAUGCCGCGUGCGGGAAGAAGGCCUUCGGGUUGUAAACCGCUUUUGUCAGGGAAGAAAAGGUUUGAACUAAUACUUUGGGCUCAUGACGGUACCUGAAGAAUAAGCACCGGCUAACUACGUGCCAGCCGCCGCUGUAAAAC
rnacentral:rRNA from 1 species